UGCGGCCUACGGGAAGCAGCAGUGGGGAAUAUUGCACAAUGGGCGAAAGCCUGAUGCAGCAACGCCGCGUGAAGGAAGAAGGUCUUCGGAUCGUAAACUUCUGUCCUUGGGGAAGAUAAUGACGGUACCCUUGGAGGAAGCCCCGGCUAACUACGUGCCAGCAGCCGCGGUAAUACGUAGGGGGCAAGCGUUAUCCGGAAUUAUUGGGCGUAAAGAGGGCGAAGGUGGUUACUUAAGCGCGGGGUUUAAGGCAAUGGCUCAA
rnacentral:rRNA from 1 species